GGAGGUUAGAGCUCAUGGGUAGAGCAUGUGCUUCGCAUGCAUGAGGUCCUGGGUUCAAUCCCUAGUACCUCCG
rnacentral:tRNA from 1 species